rnacentral:rRNA from 1 species
AGUGGCGACCGGGUGAGUAACACGUGACUAACCUACCUUCGAGUGGGGGAUAACCUAGGGAAACCUGGGCUAAUACCGCAUAACAUCUUUGGAGUGGAAAUUCUGGAGAUCAAAGGGGCAAUUCGCUUGAAGAGGGGGUCGCGGCUGAUUAGCUAGUUGGCGGGGUAAUGGCCCACCAAGGCGAAGAUCGGUAGCCGGCCUGAGAGGGCGCACGGCCACACUGGAACUGAAACACGGUCCAGACUCCUACGGGAGACAGCAGUGGGGAAUUUUGCGCAAUGGGGGAAACCCUGACGCAGCAACGCCGCGUGGAGGAUGAAGUCCCUUGGGACGUAAACUCCUUUCGACCGGGACGAUUAUGACGGUACCGGUGGAAGAAGCCCCGGCUAACUUCGUGCCAGCAGCCGCGGUAAUACGAGGGGAGCAAGCGUUGUCCGGAUUUAUUGGGCGUAAAGAGUUCGUAGGCGGUUUGUUAAGUCUGGUGUUAAAUAUCGGGGCUCAACCUCGGGACUGCAUUGGA